AGAAUAGUCUUGUCGGGGAACCUGUUGAAGAUUCAGGAGUUGAGAAAUAUGUUUAGAGAUUCUCAGGGCCAAAAAUGUGCUUAGAGGUCAAACACAGGAAAGCAACUUGGAUGAUUGGAGACCCUGUUCAAAGAUGACCUCCUUUGUGACAACUUUCAGGCCCCAGAGUGAGUUGUUGUUGCCUCAGUGCCCUCAGGCUCUGAAAGUGCCUCUUCCUGCCUGGACCACAGCAUGCAGCACACCGGUUGAUGAACACCUGACCCCAGGUCUACUCCUCCACCAGAAGAAAGACGGCUUCAACAGCAGUAAGAAGAAGGAAUCGGAGGUGUGCGAGGCAAGAAUCAAAGAGAGCAGCUAGAAGAUGUUUGCAGUAAUCCAAGUAACCAUGAUCAAAGUCUGGGCGGAGACAGUGGCCGGGGAAUCAGACAGAAAGAUCCACUUCUACUGAUAUUUGAGAAAGAAUCGAUAGAACAUGGUGAACACUUGGCUUAGGGUAAGGUAGAAGGAGAAAUUAGGUUUCUGGCUGGAGUCACUAAAUAAGUGGAAACUGUCUUUAACAGAGACAUGGAUUGUUACAGAAUAACGUCUACCAAUUUGAGUGGAAAGGGUUG
rnacentral:lncRNA from 1 species